AACGAACGCUGGCGGCAUGCCUAACACAUGCAAGUCGAUCGGUAACAGGUGUAGCAAUACAUGCUGACGAGAGGCGGACGGGUGAGUAAUGCUUGGGAAUCUGCCUAUUAGUGGGGGACAACCCGGGGAAACUCGGGCUAAUACCGCAUACGCUCUACGGAGGAAAGCCGGGGACCGCAAGGCCUGGCGCUAAUAGAUGAGCCCAAGUCGGAUUAGCUAGUUGGAGGGUAACGGCCUACCAAGGCGACAAUCCGUAGCUGGUCUGAGAGGACGACCAGCCACACCGGAACUGAGACACGGUCCGGACUCCUACGGGAGGCAGCAGUGGGGAAUAUUGGACAAUGGGGGCAACCCUGAUCCAGCGACGCCGCGUGGGUGAAGAAGGCCUGCGGGUUGUAAAGCCC
rnacentral:rRNA from 1 species